rnacentral:sRNA from 12 species
GACCUAAACCUCCGAGAUUUCUCUGGGGCAUGGCUAAAAAUCGCGACGAGCAUAAAGAACCCAUCAUCAGGUUCGCUCGUCGCGUCAUACGGGGAAACUCGUAUGUGAGUCGCAAGGCUC